GUGGGGAAUUUUGGACAAUGGGCGCAAGCCUGAUCCAGCAAUGCCGCGUGCAGGAAGAAGGCCUUCGGGUUGUAAACUGCUUUUGUACGGAACGAAACGGCUCUGGUUAAUACCCGGGGCUAAUGACGGUACCGUAAGAAUAAGUACCGGCUAACUACGUGCCAGCAGCCGCGGUAAUACGUAGGGUGCAAGCGUUAAUCGGAAUUACUGGGCGUAAAGCGUGCGCAGGCGGUUUUGUAAGACGGGCGUGAAAUCCCCGGGCUCAACCUGGGAAUGGCGCUUGUGACUGCAAAGCUGGAGUGCGGCAGAGGGGGAUGGAAUUCCGCGUGUAGCAGUGAAAUGCGUAGAUAUGCGGAGGAACACCGAUGGCGAAGGCAAUCCCCUGGGCCUGCACUGACGCUCAUGCACGAAAGCGUGGGGAGCAAACAGGAUUAGAUACCCUGGUAGUCC
rnacentral:rRNA from 1 species